UGGAGCAGGGCUCGAGAGGACUGUGGAGUCUGCAGCUUCACCACUGCGUAUUUAUUACUGCAUGUGUAGCACAGUGACAAAUGGACGGUUCGCAUUUCUGCCACAAGAUGUCACUGUGGCCAUUCAAGUACUCGCCGUGGAGCCGCAAAGCAGCGAUAACGGCGCGAGACGAAACGAGAGGUGGGGAAAACACAAACCAGGAAGUGGAGACCGACUCACCUGCUUCUUCAAACAGAAACAACAACACGUGAUCCUGGAGACUCUGAGGCUGGAACACAUGUUAUUGCACACGUAUGUACCGUGAUCACUAAUGGGUUAUGUAACCACAUGUCCCUCUGGGAGCUUCAGACCAUAACGCGACAUCCAGAGGCAAUGCAUCAAGGCCACUUAUGAGACAUUACAUCACCACACACAGACUCUCCACUGUGGAUGAUCUCACCGAGCUAAUGUGUCCACGAGGACGACGGAGGAAAUCAGAGCAAAAGAGGCGUGGCCGCCACGGACUGGUUUCUCCCCUGAAACAAAAUUGCCUUGGGAGACACUUCCAGCAGCUAAAGCCCCCGACAACACAACUUCCAGAAUCACAAAGCA